UACAGGGGGUGCAAACGUUGCUCGGAAUUACUGGGCGUAAAGGGCGCGUAGGCGGUCUUGUAAGUCUUGUGUGAAAUCCCUCGGCUUAACUGAGGAACUGCACGGGAUACUGCGAGACUUGAGAUCGGGAGAGGGAAGCGGAAUUCCGGGUGUAGCGGUGAAAUGCGUAGAUAUCCGGAGGAACACCGGUGGCGAAGGCGGCUUCCUGGACCGACACUGACGCUGAGGCGCGAAAGCUAGGGAGCAAACGGG
rnacentral:rRNA from 1 species